rnacentral:lncRNA from 1 species
UUUUGCCAUUUCUUUUUUUGCAUGCCGAAUCAAUGUGCACGCAACUUCGGAGCUACGAUGUUUUUCUGAAUGAACAGCUUCAUCAGCACUUGUAACUAGGUUGUCAAACUAAUAUCCGGGAUAGACGGAAAAGACACCAACAGUCUCCGAUUCCGAUUGACAAACUCAUCUCUCUCUCUUCUGCUUUUUUUUUCUUUCUUUCUUUUUUUUUUUUUUUUUUUUUUUUGUGAAAACGACGUGGAUGCACGUGCUGUCGUGCCUCCGGGUAGCUACGCCCCUGGUUUUAGAUACUA